rnacentral:rRNA from 1 species
UACGUAGGGGGCGAGCGUUGUCCGGAAUCAUUGGGCGUAAAGCGCGUGUAGGCGGCCCGGUAAGUCCGCUGUGAAAGUCGGGGGCUCAACCCUCGAAUGCCGGUGGAUACUGUCGGGCUAGAGUACAGAAGGGGCAACUGGAAUUCUCGGUGUAGCGGUGAAAUGCGUAGAUAUCGAGAGGAACACCUGCGGCGAAGGCGGGUUGCUGGGCUGAUACUGACGCUGAGGCGCGAAAGCCAGGGGAGCGAACGGG